GAACGCGGAGGUGCUAAAGCCGGCCGGUCGCCCGAGGGGCGGGGAAACCGCUCCCUCCCCCGGCGCCCGGGCAGCUGCCCCCGGACCUCGUGGCGACGCCCGGCGGGGCCACGGGGAGACCGCACCCUCCCGCAGGGCUGGGCGACCCGAGGAGCGCCCGCGGCCGGAGGGUAGUGUGGGUCCGAGCGGCGGGAGAGCCGGGCUCGGCCGCCUCCGGGCGCCGCGGGUCCCGGUGUCCCCGUGUCCACGGAGGGAGCUGGGCGCCGGUCCCGGGGCAGGAACUCACCAGCUGCAGCGCGCAGAGGCAGAUGAGGGAGCAGCGCCCGGAGCAGCAGCCCAUGCCUUUGAAGUGGGGCUGUCAGCAUCCCCAGUGAAAAGAUGUGGAAAUGGGAACAGGAUAUCCUGCGGCCACUGAAUGGAUGAAGAGGAGCACAAAGCCAGGUCAUCUGACUCAAAGAGCUCCUUGACUAACACCUUGACCGCCAUGCUGCCUAUGACUCUUAGGACACCAAUGACACCUGCACUGGAACUAACUGCUCCCUAGGAAAUAGGCAUGGUAAUUUGCAUUAACCCCACCCCCAGAGUCAUUGCCACCUACCUGGUGUGAUCCCAGGGGACCAGGAGGUCCUCUUGGACCUUUCCUUUUCCUAAUGCCCCCUCUACUGAUAGAUCCAGAUUGAAACUGCUUCUUCUUUUUUUUUUGGUCUUUUUGCCAUUUCUUGGGCCACUCUUGCAGCAUAUGGAGGUUCCCAGGCUAGGGGUCGAAUCGGAGCUGUAGCCACCGGCCUACGCCAGAGCCACAGCAACUCGGGAUCUGAGCCGCGUCUGCAACCUGCACCACAGCUCAUGGCAACACCGGAUCGUUAACCCACUGAGCAAGGGCAGGGAUAGAACCUGCAACCUCAUGGUUCCUAGUCGGAUUCGUUAACCACUGCGCCACGACGGGAACUCUGAAGCUGCUUCUUUAUAUAGUUUAAGACAGUUGAACAAAUGCAUUUGACUUUGAAAGAGAGAAAGCAAGAAUUCAGAGAUAGCAGAGUGCUAAUGAUAAGUCUAGAAAUUGUGUGAAACUACCUCUGUUUGUCUCUGUGGUCUCUCAUACUCAUUUUCUAAAUCGAAUUUCAUCAUGAACUAAAAAUCUUCCUCCCCUAUUUGUUUCCUUCCUUCCUUGACACUGCCCUCAAAAAUUUCUUCCUUGCUUCUUUUCUUAAUGGCUUUUAUGUCACAGGCUAUGCUGGCUGCCAGGUUUGCAAAGCAAAGUGAUAUACUCCCUCUUUUCCCCUCAAGGGCUAGGAGGUGGGAAGUCAGUGAAGCAGAGCCCACUUGGCACCGAGUCUGUCAUUGGGUCUCCUGCCUGUACGGGUAAGGGAAUACCUGUCUCUUGGGGAAGGGAGAGAGGAGAGCAGAAAAUGACCGACCGAGCCAUGGGAAGGGUGGGGGGGUCUAGAGAGGAUCUUGGAAAAGCUGAUUGAGGAGGAAAUUGUAAUGGAAGGAACCAUCAAUCCCAUUGUGGUUGGUCGUGCCACUUCCUCACUGCAGAAUCUCAGACAAGUCACUUUGCUUCCCUGCGGGUCCUCAUUUUCCUGUGCAAAGUGGGUGUGAUGUCUGAUUUGCCCCGUAGGACUAAGCGUGACAUUUGUUCUCAAUCCUCCCCUACGUGUGUCCUGCUCCCUCGCCUCUCAGCCUCAUGUUUGGUCCCAUUGAGGCCUUCGAUGACCGCACCCUCUGAUGUAACACCCCAACUGGCCUAUUGCAUUUUCAUCCAAAACAUUGAUUUAUUUACAUUAUAAAUUCUCAUCUCCCUCACUCAAAACAGUGCUAUUUCUCCCAUGCUUAUAACAAUAAAUGCAACAUUUGUUGAAUGAAAAAUAACA
rnacentral:lncRNA from 1 species